AUUGAACGCUGGCGGCAUGCUUUACACAUGCAAGUCGAACGGUAACAGGUUAAGCUGACGAGUGGCGAACGGGUGAGUAAUGUAUCGGAACGUGCCCAGUCGUGGGGGAUAACGUAGCGAAAGCUACGCUAAUACCGCAUACGAUCUGUGGAUGAAAGCGGGGGACCGUAAGGCCUCGCGCGAUUGGAGCGGCCGAUAUCAGAUUAGGUAGUUGGUGGGGUAAAGGCCCACCAAGCCAACGAUCUGUAGCUGGUCUGAGAGGACGACCAGCCACACUGGGACUGAGACACCGCCCAGACUCCUACGGGAGGCAGCAGUGGGGAAUUUUGGACAAUGGGGGCAACCCUGAUCCAGCAAUGCCGCGUGCAGGAAGAAGGCCUUCGGGUUGUAAACUGCUUUUGUACGGAACGAAAAGGCUCUGGUUAAUACCUGGGGUUUAUGACGGUACCGUAAGAAUAAGCACCGGCUAACUACGUGCCAGCAGCCGCCGUAAGAC
rnacentral:rRNA from 1 species